rnacentral:rRNA from 1 species
GGCGAACGGGUGAGUAACACGUGAGCAACCUGCCCCUGGCUCUGGGACAACCACUGGAAACGGUGGCUAAUACCGGAUACGACCUAUCACCGCAUGGUGUGUGGGUGGAAAGUUUUUCGGCUGGGGAUGGGCUCGCGGCCUAUCAGCUUGUUGGUGGGGUGAUGGCCUACCAAUGGCGACGACGGGUAGCCGGCCUGAGAGGGCGACCGGCCACACUGGGACUGAGACACGGCCCAGACUCCUACGGGAGGCAGCAGUGGGGAAUAUUGCACAAUGGGCGAAAGCCUGAUGCAGCGACGCCGCGUGAGGGAUGACGGCCUUCGGGUUGUAAACCUCUUUCAGCUCCGAAGAAGCGAAAGUGACGGUAGGAGCAGAAGAAGCACCGGCUAACUACGUGCCAGCCGCCGCGG